GAUGAACGCUGGCGGCGUGCCUAAUACAUGCAAGUCGAGCGAACAGACGCGGCGCUUGCUCCUCUGACGUUAGCCGCGGACGUGUGAGUAACACGUGGAUAACCUACCUAUCAUUCUGGGAUAACUUCGGGACACCGGAGCUAAUACCGGAUAAUAUCUUGAACCGCGUGGUUCAAUGGUGAGAUACGGCUUUGCUGUCUCUUCUAGAUGGAUCCGCGCCGCAUUAGCUAGUUGGGAAGGUAACGGGCUACGAAGGGAACGAUGCGUAGCCGACCGGAGAGAGGGGUAGGCCGCACUGGAACGGGGACAGGGACAAGACGACUACGGGACGGAGCAGUAGGGAAUCGUCCGCAAUGGGCGAAAGCAUGACGGAGCAACGCCGCGUGAGAGAUGAAGGUGUUCGGAGCGGAAUACUCUGUUAUUAGGUAAGAACAAAUGUGGAAGUAACUAUGCACGUCGUGACGGUACCUAAUCAGAAAGCCACGGCUAACUACGUG
rnacentral:rRNA from 1 species